rnacentral:rRNA from 1 species
UGCCAGCCGCCGCGGUAAUACGAAUGGUGCGAGCGUUGUUCGGAAUCACUGGGCAUAAAGGGCGCGUAGGCGGCGAUGUAAGUCAGUUGUGAAAUCCCUCGGCUCAACCGAGGAACUGCAGCUGAUACUGCAUUGCUUGAGUAUGGGAGGGGAAAGUGGAAUUCCAGGUGGAGCGGUGAAAUGCGUAGAUAUCUGGAGGAACGCCGGAGGCGAAAGCGACUUUCUGGCCCAUAACUGACGCUGAGGCGCGAAAGCUAGGGGAGCGAACAGGAUUAGAUA